UGGGGAAUUUUGCGCAAUGGGCGAAAGCCUGACGCAGCAACGCCGCGUGCGGGAUGAAGGCCCUCGGGUUGUAAACCGCUUUCAGCAGGGAAGCGGUACCUGCAGAAGAAGCCCCGGCUAACUACGUGCCAGCAGCCGCGGUAAUACGUAGGGGGCAAGCGUUAUCCGGAUUUAUUGGGCGUAAAGCGCGCGUAGGCGGCUUGUUAAGUCAGAUGUGAAACCGGGGGCUCAACCCGCGGCCGCAUCUGAAACUGGCAAGCUUGAGUCUGGUAGAGGAGUGUGGAAUUCCCAGUGUAGCGGUGGAAUGCGCAGAUAUUGGGAGGAACACCAGUGGCGAAGGCGGCACUCUGGGCCACGACUGACCUGAGGCGCGAAAGCUAGGGGAGCAAACAGGAUUAGAUACCCUGGUAGU
rnacentral:rRNA from 1 species